rnacentral:rRNA from 1 species
CAGCCGCCACGGUAAUACGUAGGGUGCAAGCGUUAAUCGGAAUUACUGGGCGUAAAGCGUGCGCAGGCGGUCCGCUAAGACAGAUGUGAAAUCCCCGGGCUUAACCUGGGGACUGCAUUUGUGACUGGCGGGCUAGAGUAUGGCAGAGGGGGGUAGAAUUCCACGUGUAGCAGUGAAAUGCGUAGAGAUGUGGAGGAAUACCGAUGGCGAAGGCAGCCCCCUGGGCCAAUACUGACGCUCAUGCACGAAAGCGUGGGGAGCAAACAGGAUUAGAUACCCGUGUAGUCCCUGUCUCUUAACA